UACGUAGGGUGCAAGCGUUGUCCGGAAUUAUUGGGCGUAAAGAGCUCGUAGGCGGUCUGUCACGUCGGCUGUGAAAACCCGAGGCUCAACCUCGGGCCUGCAGUCGAUACGGGCAAACUAGAGUACUGCAGGGGAGACUGGAAUUCCUGGUGUAGCGGUGAAAUGCGUAGAUAUCUGGAGGAAUACCGGUGGCGAAGGCGGCAUCCUGGACCAUUACUGACGCUGAGGCGCGAAAGCUAGGGGAGCAACAGGG
rnacentral:rRNA from 1 species